CAUGAGAAUUUUCUUCCAUCUGAAAACUGCAGUUGAAGUGUCAUGUACUGAGUAUCAAAAGAUGCCUUCCAAAUUGGCUCUGAUGCUGAGUCACUAGCUGGGUGAUCUCAAAUGCUGUUUGUAACCCCUGCAAUACCCUCUCUCACUGACUUCUGCAUUCUUUCCAAGAACAACAAAGAACUUGGAGUGAGAGUCUCCAUCCAGUGUGGAAAGCCAGCCUCCUUCUGAACGUCUUCGGAUCAAGAUGUAGAACUCUCAGCUCCCCCAGCUUCAUCUCUGCAAGCUGCCAUGCUUCCCAUUCUGAUGACAAUGAACUGAACCUUUGAAAGUGUCCUGACAUAUGGAGCUACAGAAAGAUCAUCAUAGCCUCAUGAGAAGGAAAAGAAUCUCUCCAUCUCUGUGAAUCCAAUUUUUCUGGAGAAGUCCCAUUUGAGAAUGGACUGUGCCCUGAUUCUAGGCUUUAAGUUGAAGUUGAAAGAAGGAAUGGCCUUCGGUGUACAUAAUGAAAUUAUUCAUUUCCUGAAUAUGCAGAGACACAAAUUUCUCAAUACCUAGUUCAAUCAGAUCCAGCACAUGGUAGUCAUACAUAUGACCUAUUACUAGGUUAUUUGGCCUCUUCUUGUUAUGGGAGCCAAACAUGAAUAAAGAGCAGUCUGACCUACAGGGUUGCAGACCUCUUUAGCUCCUUGGAUACUU